rnacentral:rRNA from 1 species
AUUGAACGCUGGCGGCAUGCCUUACACAUGCAAGUCGAACGGCAGCACGGGAGCAAUCCUGGUGGCGAGUGGCGAACGGGUGAGUAAUAUAUCGGAACGUGCCCAGUCGUGGGGAUAACGUAGCGAAAGCUACGCUAAUACCGCAUACGAUCUAUGGAUGAAAGCGGGGGAUCGCAAGACCUCGCGCGAUUGGAGCGGCCGAUAUCAGAUUAGGUAGUUGGUGAGGUAAAGGCUCACCAAGCCGACGAUCUGUAGCUGGUCUGAGAGGACGACCAGCCACACUGGGACUGAGACACGGCCCAGACUCCUACGGGAGGCAGCAGUGGGGAAUUUUUGGGACAAUGGGCGCAAGCCUGAUCCAGCAAUGCCGCGUGCAGGAUGAAGGCCUUCGGGUUGGUAC